rnacentral:SRP_RNA from 1 species
GCUGGGCGUGGUGGUGCGUGCCUGUAAUCCCAGCUACUUGGGAGGCUGAGGCAGGAGAAUCGCUUGAACCCAGGAAGCGGAGGUUGCAGUGAGCCAAGACUGCACCACUGCACUCCAUCUUGGGUGAGAGAGUGAGAUUCUGUCUCAA